rnacentral:rRNA from 1 species
GACGAACGCUGGCGGCGUGCUUAACACAUGCAAGUCGAACGGAAAGGCCCUGCUUGCAGGGUACUCGAGUGGCGAACGGGUGAGUAACACGUGGGUGAUCUGCCCUGCACUUCGGGAUAAGCCUGGGAAACUGGGUCUAAUACCGGAUAGGAGCCAUUUUUAGUGUGAUGGUUGGAAAGUUUUUUCGGUGUAGGAUGAGCUCGCGGCCUAUCAGCUUGUUGGUGGGGUAAUGGCCUACCAAGGCGGCGACGGGUAGCCGGCCUGAGAGGGUGGACGGCCACAUUGGGACUGAGAUACGGCCCAGACUCCUACGGGAGGCAGCAGUGGGGAAUAUUGCACAAUGGGCGCAAGCCUGAUGCAGCGACGCCGCGUGGGGGAUGACGGCCUUCGGGUUGUAAACUCCUUUCGCUAGGGACGAAGCUUUUUGUGACGGUACCUAGAUAAGAAGCACCGGCUAACUACGUGCCAGCAGCCGCGGUAAUACGUAGGGUGCGAGCGUUGUCCGGAAUUACUGGGCGUAAAGGGCUCGUAGGUGGUUUGUCGCGUCGUCUGUGAAAUUCCGGGGCUUAACUCCGGGCGUGCAGGCGAUACGGGCAUAGCUUGAGUACUGUAGGGGUAACUGGAAUUCCUGGUGUAGCGGUGAAAUGCGCAGAUAUCGGGAGGAACACCGAUGGCGAAGGCAGGUUACUGGGCAGUUACUGACGCUGAGGAGCGAAAGCAUGGGGAUCAAACAGGAUUAGAUACCCUGGUAGUCCACGCCGUAAACGAUGAGUGCUAAGUGUUAGGGGGUUUCCGCCCCUUAGUGCUGCAGCUAACGCAUUAAGCACUCCGCCUGGGGAGUACGACCGCAAGGUUGAAACUCAAAGGAAUUGACGGGGACCCGCACAAGCGGUGGAGCAUGUGGUUUAAUUCGAAGCAACGCGAAGAACCUUACCAAAUCUUGACAUCCUCUGAUCCCUCUAGAGAUAGAGUUUUCCCCUUCGGGGGACAGAGUGACAGGUGGUGCAUGGUUGUCGUCAGCUCGUGUCGUGAGAUGUUGGGUUAAGUCCCGCAACGAGCGCAACCCUUAAGCUUAGUUGCCAUCAUUAAGUUGGGCACUCUAAGUUGACUGCCGGUGACAAACCGGAGGAAGGUGGGGAUGACGUCAAAUCAUCAUGCCCCUUAUGAUUUGGGCUACACACGUGCUACAAUGGACAAUACAAAGGGUAGCAAAACCGCGAGGUCAAGCAAAUCCCAUAAAGUUGUUCUCAGUUCGGAUUGUAGUCUGCAACUCGACUACAUGAAGCUGGAAUCGCUAGUAAUCGUAGAUCAGCAUGCUACGGUGAAUACGUUCCCGGGUCU